UACGGAGGGGGCUAGCGUUGUUCGGAAUUACUGGGCGUAAAGCGCACGUAGGCGGCUUUGUAAGUUAGAGGUGAAAGCCCGGGGCUCAACCCCGGAACUGCCUUUAAGACUGCAUCGCUUGAAUCCAGGAGAGGUGAGUGGAAUUCCGAGUGUAGAGGUGAAAUUCGUAGAUAUUCGCAAGAACACCAGUGGCGAAGGCGGCUCACUGGCCCGGUACUGACGCUGAGGUGCGAAAGCGUGGGGAGCAAACAGG
rnacentral:rRNA from 1 species